rnacentral:rRNA from 1 species
AAAUGAAUAGACGGGGACCCGCACAAGCAGCGGAGCAUGUGGUUUAAUUCGAUGCAACGCGAAGAACCUUACCAGGGCUUGACAUCCCUUGGACCGGAUUAGAGAUAAUCCUUUCCCUUCGGGGACUGAGGGACAGGUGGUGCAUGGUUGUCGUCAGCUCGUGUCGUGAGAUGUUGGGUUAAGUCCCGUAACGAGCGCAACCCCUACCUUUAGUUGCUAACAGUUAGGCUGAGCACUCUAGAGGGACUGCCGAUGAUAAAUCGGAGGAAGGUGGGGAUGACGUCAAAUCAUCAUGCCCUUUAUGUCCUGGGCUACACACGUGCUACAAUGGUCGGUACAAUGGGUUGCCAGCGAGCGAUCGUGAGCUAAUCUCAUAAAGCCGAUCCCAGUUCGGAUUGCAGGCUGCAACUCGCCUGCAUGAAGCCGGAGUUGCUAGUAAUCGUGGAUCAGCAUGCCACGGUGAAUGCGUUCCCGGGUCUUGUACACACCGCCCGU